rnacentral:rRNA from 1 species
GACGAACGCUGGCGGCGUGCCUAAUACAUGCAAGUGGGACGCAAGGGAACACACUGUGCUUGCACACCGUGUUUUCUUGAGUCGCGAACGGGUGAGUAACGCGUAGGUAACCUGCCUAUUAGCGGGGGAUAACUAUUGGAAACGAUAGCUAAUACCGCAUAAUAUUAAUUAUUGCAUGAUAAUUGAUUGAAAGAUGCAAGCGCAUCACUAGUAGAUGGACCUGCGUUGUAUUAGCUAGUUGGUAAGGUAAGAGCUUACCAAGGCGACGAUACAUAGCCGACCUGAGAGGGUGAUCGGCCACACUGGGACUGAGACACGGCCCAGACUCCUACGGGAGGCAGCAGUAGGGAAUCUUCGGCAAUGGACGAAAGUCUGACCGAGCAACGCCGCGUGAGUGAAGAAGGUUUUCGGAUCGUAAAGCUCUGUCGUAAGUCAAGAACGUGUGUGAGAGGGAAAGUUCACAC